GAGAGAGUGUACCAGUAUCAGACGUAGCUGGCUGCAGGCGACUCUCACAACACUACACUGCUACAACAAUACUACAACAUCACGUCCAGUUCCACUGACAAUCAACCACAGGCAACAUCACGUCCAGUUCCACUGACAAUCAACCACAGGCAACAUCACGUCCAGUUCCACUGACAAUCAGCCACAGACAACAUCACGUCCAGUUCCACUGACAAUCAGCCACAGGCAACAUCACGUCCAGUUCCACUGACAAUCAACCACAGGCAACAUCACGUCCAGUUCCACUGACAAUCAGCCACAGGCAACAUCCCAUCAUUUUACUAUUUGACACCAACAACAGGCGACAUCACUCCUGUCCUACUGUUGACCACUGAAGAAAUUCAAAUACCACUCACAGGACAUUAAUGAUGGAUAACGAUAAACCAGAGGAGUGUAAUGUGUGUUACAACAAUUAUGAUGAAGAACUACGACGGCCACGCAAUCUGCCGUGUGGCCACGCAUUCUGCACACAAUGUAUUAAA